GGGGAGCUCAGGUGCAUGCAAAGAACCUGAGUGACCAGAAUAGAUGGAGCCAGGAUCCACCCCUUCCUAGACCUCAUUUAAGAAUUGGCAGUGGAGAUAGGGGUGUUUUGCUGGAGAUUCCUCUCUCUUGUACUGGUGGCCUUCUAGAGACUGUAUCCCUGCAUCCCUGGGUGCAUGUCACUGAAUUCAUUACAAGCAGCAGAAGUGCACACCAUCAUGACAGUUGUUUUAAAAGUAGGAAUUCUACUUUUAAUAUGAUCUAUGGAUAACACUGCCCGCAAAUAAUCUGCUGAUCAAGGUAUAAAAAGGCCUCACAUUUUGCUGUGAAUUUGGAUAAGUCGUAAGACAGCACACAGUGUAUGUAUGCUGUGGUACUCUCUGAAAACUUCUCCACCAUAGAGAGUUGUGACAGUAGUCUGGCUAAUCCACUCACCAUCCCUGGGC
ensembl:lncRNA